UAUCCCUGCUGUCACGCUGGAGCCUGUAGUUACUGGGGCUACUGUCUCUAGCUGUAUCUCUGUUUCUUUCUCUAUGGUUCUCUGGCUGACAGAGAGCUGUCUUUACCCUGUACUGUGAGGGUGUGGAGGGAUAGAUAGUGUGUUAUUCCUUGUUCCUCUCCCAUCUCCUGAUGUCUAACCGGACUGACUGACCGUCUGCUGCUCUCUGCUCUCUCCUAGAUGGAUGAAUGGAUAGAUGUACAUGGUUCUAGCCUGUCUGUCUAACACCCUCAUUGACUAGCUGACUACAGAGGAAGAAGGAGGAGGGACACCGCAAACAUCAAUUCAGCAGGUGGCUGCCAAGCCUCUCCACGCUGUAGGAGAUUACUAAGAGGAAGACUUCAGACUCACUGAGGAGAACACAAAGAGAAGGAGGGAUACAGACAGAAAAGAGAGAAAGGAAACUGCAAGCCAAAAUGACCUGAGUGGACCAGCUGGACAGCCAGUGAGCCAGAUCCAGC